AUUCAGCCCUUUGUCGCUAAGAU
rnacentral:snRNA from 1 species